rnacentral:lncRNA from 1 species
AAGAAGUUAACUGCAGGGCAAGGAGCCCCCACCCAGGACCCAGCAGGACCCCGCGGGCGCGGGGGUAGACGCCCCGCCUUGGGCGGAGGUCCUCCCCUCCAGUUUUCUCGGCCCUGGUGGGACCCUUUGUCCCACAAGCUUCCCGCUGGACCUAUGGCUCCAGCAGGUCAAGAUCCAGAGCAGAAGGUGGAGAGCACUUGAAUGGAGCCCCUUAUCUCUCUCCCAGCCUGGUGAUUGCUGUCGGAGCAGGGAUGUUGGGGCUGCACAGCACAGGAACUCGACACCUGGAGGAAAGCCAGCCUGGUCCCAGCUCUUCUCAGCCUCCAGGCACUGCCCCUCACCACUCUGGGUAGGGGUCUGUUCAGGAUUCCAGAACAUUGGACAAGGUGCUCAGGCUCAUCUGGCUUCCACAGCUGCUUGUGCAGGGCGGAACAUCAGCUCACCUUGGACCUGGCCCUUCCUACCCGCUGCUCAUCCUGUCGCGACCUGUCCCGGGGGUCCGCAGUGAGAGUCUUGGUCCAGGGCCCAGAGGCCUGGCCCCAGUGGGCCUGGCAGGCUGUGCGCUGGGGUCACCAGAGCUGGGGCUGGAGCUGGAGCUGGGGCUGGGGCUGUUCCCCAAGCCUCCGGGUCUGGCUCGGCCUGCCCCCCUUCUUGCCUGCCCUCUCACAGCUCCAGCAGGGGGCGGGCGGGGGAAAGAAAAGGAAGGACAUGUUGAACUGGGUCCAUCUGGUGUCCAGGAGCAACUCGAAAGGGGGUGGGGGGAGGGGACAGGCCAUGAGGGCUUGGCUCAGCCAAGGGAGGGUUGGGUGGCCUUCUUGCUUCCCAGGCCAUUCUCACGGGGCUGUCUCCCCAGGCAGGGGAGGGCCUGGCGGGGGGGUGGGGUUUGCCCAGGCUCUGACCCCUCCCCCACAGUGCCCUGUGUGGGGCUUGGUGGGUGGACUGGCACAGCCUCUGCUUUUGUCCUGGUGAGCAACUCCCAGUGACCAGGGAGCUGGCUGCUGAGACUUCCCAUGGGAGCAGGCUGGGCCACGAGGCAGGAGGGCCUCCUAAUGCCCCAGGGGAUGUGGGCCAGCCCACACACCUGGCCAGAAGCAUCCGAGGACUAGCGGCGUGUGCUGGCUGAGCCCUUGCCCAGCCUCAUGGUGACUGGGCUGCGGGGGUCCCAGCCCUCCUUGGCCACUGACCCUUCGUCUCCCCUUCCAUUGGCCUCCAGGAAUUCCCACGUGCUGUCAUGCUCCCUCCUGGUGGCUCUCCUUGCCCCUCCUACUUCACCCCUUCACCUCUGUCUGUGCUCAGCUUGCCCCACCCCCAGACGGAGCUGGGACCUCCCUUGUCUUCCCCACCCUCCUGUGUCCUCCACCCUGGCCUUCCUCCUCUGCUGAGCCUCGGGAGGGGUGCACCUCACUUCUGUCUCUGUCCCUGCCGCUGCUCACUGCUUGGGGCCCUGCUCCCCCCAGGUUGGCCCAGCUGGGGUCCUGCACAGGGCCCUGCUCCCAGCACCCAGAAGCCCAAUAAACCUUUGUGAAACGAGUG